rnacentral:rRNA from 1 species
GACGAACGCUGGCGGCGUGCUUAACACAUGCAAGUCGAACGAUGAACCCGGAGCUUGCUCUGGGGGAUUAGUGGCGAACGGGUGAGUAACACGUGAGUAACCUGCCCUGGACUCUGGGAUAAGCGUUGGAAACGACGGCUAAUACCGGAUAGGACCUUGGAUCGCAUGAUCUGGGGUGGAAAGUUUUUUCGGUCUGGGAUGGACUCGCGGCCUAUCAGCUUGUUGGUGAGGUAAUGGCUCACCAAGGCGUCGACGGGUAGCCGGCCUGAGAGGGUGACCGGCCACACUGGGACUGCGACACGGCCCAGACUCCUACGGGUGGCAGCCGUGGGGAAUAUUGCACAAUGGGCGAAAGCCUGCUGCAGCAACGCCGCGUGCGGGAUGACGGCCUUCGGGUUGUAAACCGCUUUUAGUAGGGAAGAAGGGCUUCGGCUUGACGGUACCUGCAGAAAAAGGACCGGCUAACUACGUG